UUAUAGCCCUGAUUGUAAUGGAAAUCCUUUUGCUUUUUCUUUUAAAAAAGCAAAAGAUUGCAAUGGAAAGCAGGAAUAGGG
rnacentral:sRNA from 26 species